rnacentral:rRNA from 1 species
AAGCGUGCGCAGGCGGUUAUAUAAGACAGAUGUGAAAUACCCCGGGCUCAACCUGGGAACUGCAUUUGUGACUGUAUAGCUGGAGUGCGGCAGAGGGGGAUGGAAUUCCGCGUGUAGCAGUGAAAUGCGUAGAUAUGCGGAGGAACACCGAUGGCGAAGGCAAUCCCCUGGGCCUGCACUGACGCUCAUGCACGAAAGCGUGGGGAGCAAACAGGAUUAGAUACCCCGGU